GCACCUGGGGAUGAUCUAAGCAUGCGAGUCAUUGUAGUAAUACAAGGCAGACGGCUCAGUAACGCGUAGUCAAUCUACCCUAUGGACGAGGAUAACCUCGGGAAACUGAGAAUAAUACUCGAUAGAACACUAUGCCUGGAAUGGUUUGUGUUUGAAAUGAUUUAUCGCUGUAGGAUGGGACUGCGGCCUAUCAGUUUGUUGGUGAGGUAAUGGCCCACCAAGACUAUUACAGGUACGGGCUCUGAGAGGAGUGGCCCGGAGAUGGGUACUGAGACACGGACCCAGGCCCUAUGGGGCGCAGCAGGCGAGAAAACUUUGCAAUGUGCGAAGGCACGACAAGGUUAAUCCGAGUGGUUUCUGCUAAAGAAACCUUUUGUUAGUCCUAGAAACACUGAUGAAUAAGGGGUGGGCAAGUUCUGGUGUCAGCCGCCGCGGUAAAACCAGCACCUCAAGUGGUCAGGAUGAUUAUUGGGCCUAAAGCAUCCGUAGCCGGCUAUGUAAGUUUUCGGUUAAAUCUGUGCGCUUAACGUACAGGCUGCCGGGAAUACUGCAUAGCUAGGAAGUGGGAGAGGUAGACGGUACUCGGUAGGAAGGGGUAAAAUCCUUUGAUCUAUUGAUGACCACCUGUGGCGAAGGCGGUCUACCAGAACACGUUCGACGGUGAGGGAUGAAAGCUGGGGGAGCAAACCGGAUUAGAUACCCGGGUAGUCCCAGCUGUAAACUAUGCAAACUCAGUGAUGCAUUGGCUUGUGGCCAAUGCAGUGCUGCAGGGAAGCCGUUAAGUUUGCCGCCUGGGAAGUACGUACGCAAGUAUGAAACUUAAAGGAAUUGGCGGGGGAGCACCACAAGGGGUGAAGCCUGCGGUUCAAUUGGAUUCAACGCCGGG
rnacentral:rRNA from 1 species